rnacentral:misc_RNA from 1 species
GCCGACAUUCCCCAGAACCGCGCUGCACGAUGCGGCACGCGACGCUAAAAGUUACUUGGCAGCCACCGUGCGACACCAGCGUACAAGGAUAUUGAGCUCGCGAGACGGCAGCCGACGAUGCUUGCCCAGCUGCGCGCGUGCAGGUGUCUGUACGGUUGGUUCCUGCAGCGGCGGGUGACUGGAGGUGACCGCAUGAGGUGCCGAUGGUGUGCCGCCUACUACACCGCUGGCACCGUGGGGGUACCCCUGCGCCUCCUGGUGACAUGAACGGAACUGCCAGAUGGAGACAGCGAGCCACCCGGGCAGCAGCGUUGCCCUGAGGCAGGCCCCGGCCCCGAAAACGCGCGCCCCGCGCGCACGCGCUGCGAAUGGCCGCUGGCACGGUGUAUCCCGCCCAAGCAAGGCAUGGAGCGGUGAGCAGGGCGCGGGCGACGGUGGAGAGGGGCGCGCAGAGAUGCACAGUGAUGAGCCCCAAAGUGCAUGUGUGGGGAACGUGCGGCAUCUCCUGCAUCGGACCUGGUGGGCUGAUGUGGCGCAGAUGCCGGAAGCAUGAGGGGGCCACCCCGGGCUGCACCGUCGAGCCCCCGCAGACUCCGAUGUGGAGAGUCGCCGCACCACAUUGAGGAAUGCCGCGGCCUGAGGGGACGGAGGGAGAGGCAUGGCACACAGGCAGAGUGUGCGGGGCCUCCGAGGGCCCUCGCCUGCAGCUGGGCAACUGCCUCCCUGAGCUCAUCCGGCACGCGCCUAGGCCCGCCCCUAAUUACCCGCGCGCCAGACGCCAGGGUGUUCCGCCCCUCGAGCAGGACCCCGGAGGUGGCCUGCUUGGAUCAAGGCAUGCAGUCCAGCCGGGUCCGCCUGGCGCCGAUCGCGCAGCACGUAUCCGAGGAAGGACGAGAGGUGCACGCUAGAAGCAUGGCCCAAUGCAGCGGCAGGACGGCUCGUCCCAGACGAGCAGGGCUGAGCCAUGGCGCAGCAGAGGCAGGAGAACUGCGAUUGCGUGUGUGCGCAUAGUUGUUGACUUGCUCGUGGCAGAAUGGCCAUGUGCAUAAAAG